GUAUCUCUCUAGAGAUCCCUGUAUACCUAAGGAUUUUACAGGCCUUCUGAAGCCUCUGCCUGCAGUCUAUGGAUUCAUAGUCUGGAACCUAACAGCUCCUGCAGCUCCAUGUGGUUUCCAUCACCAGCAUGGGAAGGGCCUGAGUGCCUUGCAGGAGAGACAGUUGCUGCUGCCUGGCCAGGUUAUGUAAAAUGAAUGAGCUUUCACUGCUGUGCCAGGUCCAGAGAGGAAUAUCUUCUGAUUUCAGGAUGGCAGAGAAAAACAGUGUUAACAUCUGAUGUUACCAGCUGUAAUGUUGGAAGGUCUGCACCUUGUUGGCAUGAACAAGGAUCUGAUUGGGGUCUUCAGGUGGAGGGAGAGGACUGCUGCCCACCUGGCUUGGAGUGAAAGAGAAUAUGUGAAUCUAGGGACGGGGAAGAAGCUCUUCUGGCCCAGCCACGUUGUGAUGAUGAUCUCCAGUCUCUCUGACCCCUUCAGUGAAUUUCUGCUCAUUUGCAUGAGAAAGUGAUGGAAAUGUACUGGUGCAUGGGUUUAGGGAAACAUUAACUGGUGUGAUGAACAUCUGGCAAAAAGACACAUGGGCAGAAAUGCUACAGCUUCCUACGCAAUUUCUGCGCAAAAAUGGUCGUACUUUAUCUAUAGGGAAUUGCGCUCAAAAGACAUAACGAGUCCACAGGUCUCACGAGUUCCAUUUGUACAACUUGUUACCAGAGGUUAUAAAAAGGCUGCAAACUGAAGCCACGUUGCUGCUGUUGAACUUCUUUGGUGAAAGGGCAGCACUCACAGCUUCCUGUCCACGUGCAAGAAGCAAUUUUUAGCAAAGGUGGUGGUGUGUCUCUCGUCUCCACUGUUUUACAUUGACUUCUGACUGAGAUGGGUAGAGAGACUUUUCAAUGUGUCUUUUUUCUGUUUUCCUUUGGAAGGCUUACUGUGUUUGUUUCAAAUCUUGCUCAAAUGCGAACUGUUUGUCUGUGUCUACAUAGAUGUAAAAAGCAAGGCUUUAUAGAUGUAGAAUCAGUUCUUUACAACUCCUUGGGUAGAAGGUAUAAUCCUCUCUUAAGGAUGAGGAAAGACACACAGAUAAAGCUUCAAUGACUGACUAGAGGCCUAAUUAUGGGUAGAGAGUAAGCCUGAGAUUAAAAAUAAGGCUUGAAUUCAGCCCCUUAAUGAACGCUCCUAGAUCUUGCUGCCUCAUUUUAUGCAGAUGUACAAGCAGCAUAUGUUUUACACAACGGGCUCAUCAUGUUGACUCAUCGGAAGGAACAGAAAAGGGAGUGUUUCUGUUUUACCCACUAUCUGCCUUUUGCGAUGCACUUUCCCUGUCUGUGUACCUUAAAUGCCCUCCUUGCUGUGGUCUCUAAGUGUUCUUGUCUUCAGGAAGCACAGGUUUCCUCACCAGAUGGGAGCCUGUGCAACUGCAUUUCAAAGCAAGGAGGAUAGGCGGAGGGGAUUUUGGCAGGAUGGAGCCAGUCAUGGAAUCUGCCCCUUUGUCUGAGGAAUGGUGCAGAUGAGGAGCGCUGUCUGCCAGUGCUUGGACUGCCUGGUCUGGGGUGAGAAGGGAGCCUACAGAUUUGUCUUUUACUUUCUGUUUUAACGUUUAUUCAUUUUUUCCCUUUCUUCUCCCUCAUCCCUUCCUACCAUCAGUUGCAAAACUAAUGGCAUUGUGUCAAAUCCUGUUGAUGCAUCUACUAUGCAGAUUCAGGUUAUCACAUGUUUGCAGACUGGCUUGGCUAAUACACCUGUGAAACAUCCAUGUACCAUCACACAAAGACUCUGUAAGGAAAGUUAACAAAUCUAGUUGGCUAUGAAGCAAUAUUAGGCAUUGAAUAACACUACCUUGGAAUCUUCUAGUGUCCUAAAAGCUGUUGCAUAGACUGUGGCCACUGAGGGAGCCUGGGGCUGGCUUGUUUUGUAUUUGCCAAGUCUUAUAUGCUGGUGGUUGAUAGCAUUGGUAUGAAGUUCUUGUUUUGUUACUGCAUUGUAUUGUCUAUAAUGACUCCACUGAUGGUGAUAAUGAGUGACUUUCCCCACACCAUGGUUAUACUGAAAUU
ensembl:lncRNA